UGGUCAGAACGAACGCUGGCGGCGCGUCUAAGCAUGCAAGUCGAACGGCAAGAGGUAGCAAUACCUCCUAGAGUGGCGGACUGGUGAGUAACACGUGGGUGACAUACCCUUCAGAUGGGGAUAGCUAUUAGAAAUAGUAGAUAAUACCGAAUACGAGCACAGGGGUUAGAGAUCUGUGAGGAAAGGAGCUAAGGCUCCGCUGAAGGAAUGGCCUGCGGCCCAUUAGCUAGUUGGUGAGGUAAGAGCCCACCAAGGCGAUGAUGGGUAUCCGGCCUUAGAGGGUGAACGGACACAUUGGGACUGAGAUACGGCCCAGACUCCUACGGGAGGCAGCAGCUAAGAAUAUUCCGCAAUGGACGAAAGUCUGACGGAGCGACGCCGCGUGGAUGAAGAAGGCCGGAAGGUUGUAAAAUCCUUUUGAAACUGAAGAAUAAGCGUUGUAGGGAAUGACAGCGUGGUGACAGUAGGUUUUGAAUAAGCAACGGCUAAUUACGUGCCAGCAGCCGC
rnacentral:rRNA from 1 species